rnacentral:pre_miRNA from 1 species
GUUAUGCGACUAACUUCGCUCAGUUGGUGUCAUUUACCGGUUUCCAGUUUCAUCACUGGGCAAAGUUUGUCGCAUAAA